AACUUAAUAGAUGUUAGAAGUUCUCAAGUAUGUUAAAAAACUUGAAUUAAUAGGGAAAUCGGUGUGAACCCGAUGCAGCCCCCGCUACUGUAAGUGCAGAUGAAAUUGUAAUGUCCACUGAUACAUUUCGUAUUGGGAAGGAGCAAGAGUAAAGUGAAGCACAAGCCAGGAGACCUGCUUUUAACUGAUGUAACUC
rnacentral:ncRNA from 1 species